AUUGAACGCUGGCGGCAGGCCUAACACAUGCAAGUCGAACGAGUGGCGGACGGGUGAGUAAUGUCUGGGCAACUGCCUGAUGGAGUGGGAUAACUACUGGAAACGGUAGCUAAUACCGCAUACCAUCAGAUGUGCCCAUAUGGGAUUAGCUAGUGGGGGGGGUAACGGCUCACCACGGCGACGAUCCCUAGCUGGUCUGAGAGGAUGACCAGCCACACUGGAACUGAGACACGGUCCAGACUCCUACGGGAGGCAGCAGUGGGGAAUAUUGGACAAUGGGCGAAAGCCUGAUGCAGCCAUGCCGCGUGUGUGAAGAAGGCCUUCGGGUUGUAAAGUACUUUAAGCGGGGAGGCGUUACCCGCAGAAGAAGCACCGGCUAACUCCGUGCCAGCAGCCGCGGUAAUUC
rnacentral:rRNA from 1 species